GGAAUUUAUCUUAAAAUAAAAACGUUUAUUUUGUCAUCGUAUUAUUUGAUUAACUAUUUCCAUCUAUAAGCAGACUAUUUCCAUCACGCAUUCCUAGAGGUUAUGGGCCCAGAAGUUGUGGAAAUUUAAGACGCUAUAGUGGUAAAUUAGAAAUCAAAAGUGUUCACGAAACGUGGUAAGGAAGUCAACGACAAAAAUGGCGGAAGCAAAUUUUGUUAACAUCAAACCCUUUGAUGGAAAUAAUUUCUCCAACUGGUUAUUUAGAGUGAAAUUGUUAUUGGAACAAGCUGGUGUCUUAGCUGUACUAUCCCAA
rnacentral:lncRNA from 1 species